GACGAACGCUGGCGGCGUGCUUAACACAUGCAAGUGGAGCGACGAACCAGGGCUUGCCCUGGGGCAAAGCCGCGAACGGGUGAGUAACACGUGGGUAACCUGCCCCGAUGACCGGGACAACCCGAGGAAACUCGGGCUAAUACCGGAUGUGCUCUCGAGCCACAAGGCUCGCGAGCAAAGAUAGCUUCGGCCUUCGCAUCGGGAUGGGCCCGCGGCCCAUUAGCUUGUUGGUGAGGUAACGGCUCACCAAGGCUGCGAUGGGUAGCUGGUCUGAGAGGACGAUCAGCCACACUGGGACUGAGACACGGGCCCAGACUCCUACGGGAGGCAGCAGUGGGGAAUCUUGCGCAAUGCGCGACAGCGUGACGCAGCAACGCCGCGUGGGGAA
rnacentral:rRNA from 1 species